rnacentral:rRNA from 1 species
CGACUGCUAAUACCGAAUGUGCUUCACGGUGAAAGAUUAAUCGCCUGGAGAUGAGCUCGCGUCUGAUUAGCUAGUUGGUGGGGUAAAAGCGUACCAAGGCGACGAUCAGUAGCUGGUCUGAGAGGAUGAUCAGCCACACUGGGACUGAGACACGGCCCAGACUCCUACGGGAGGCAGCAGUGGGGAAUUUUCCGCAAUGGGCGAAAGCCUGACGGAGCAACGCCGCGUGAGGGAGGAAGGCUUUUGGGUUGUAAACCUCUUUUCUCAAGGAAGAUAAUGACGGUACUUGAGGAAUCAGCAUCGGCUAACUCCGUGCCAGCAGCCGCGGUAAUACGGAGGAUGCAAGCGUUAUCCGGAAUAAUUGGGCGUAAAGCGUUCGUAGGUGGUUUUGCAAGUCUGCUGUUAAAGCGUGUAGCUUAACUACAUAAUGGCGGUGGAAACUGCAAAACUAGAGUGCGUUCGGGGCAGAGGGAAUUCCUGGUGUAGCGGUGAAAUGCGUAGAUAUCAGGAAGAACACCGGUGGCGAAGGCGCUCUGCUAGGCCGCAACUGACACUGAGGGACGAAAGCUAGGGGAGCGAAUGGGAUUAGAU